rnacentral:rRNA from 1 species
UACGUAGGGUGCAAGCGUUGUCCGGAAUUAUUGGGCGCAAAGAGCUCGUAGGCGGCUCGUCGCGUCGGCUGUGAAAACCUGAGGCUCAACCUCGGGCUUGCAGCCGAUACGGGCAAGCUAGAAUUCGGUAGGGGAGACUGGAAUUCCUGGUGUAGCGGUGAAAUGCGCAGAUAUCAGGAGGAACACCGGUGGCGAAGGCGGGUCUCUGGGCCGAUAUUGACGCUGAGGAGCGAAAGCGUGGGGAGCAAACAGG